rnacentral:rRNA from 1 species
GGCGCACGGGUGCGUAACACGUAUGCAACCUACCUAUUAUUGGGGGAUAGCCUUUGGAAACGGAGAUUAAUACCGCAUAAUACGAUUGACCGGCAUCGGUUGAUCGUUAAAGCUUUGGCGAUAAUAGAUGGGCAUCGCGUCCAAUUUAGUUAGUUGGUUAGAUAACGGCUGACCAAGACGAUGAUUGGUAGGGGAAUCUGAGAGGAUAAUCCCCCACACUGGCACUGAGAUACGGGCCAGACUCCUACGGGAGGCAGCAGUAGGGAAUAUUGGGCAAUGGGCGGAAGCCUGACCCAGCCAUGCCGCGUGCAGGAAGAAGGCGUUAUGCGUUGUAAACUGCUUUUUUAUAGGAAGAAGGAUCCCUUGCGAGGGAAGGUGACGGUACUAUAAGAAUAAGCACCGGCUAACUCCGUGCCAGCAGCCGCGGUAAUACGGAGGGUGCAAGCGUUGUCCGGAUUUAUUGGGUUUAAAGGGUGCGUAGGCGGUUUAUUAAGUCAGUGGUGAAAGACGGUCGCUCAACGAUUGCAGUGCCAUUGAUACUGGUAGACUUGAGUGAGAUUGAGGUAGCUGGAAUGGAUAGUGUAGCGGUGAAAUGCAUAGAUAUUAUCCAGAACACCGAUUGCGAAGGCAGGUUACUAAGUCUUAACUGACGCUGAGGCACGAAAGUGUGGGGAUCAAACAGGAUUAG